rnacentral:misc_RNA from 1 species
UUAAGUUCAGCGGGUAAUCUUGCUUGAUUUGAGGUCAAACUUUAAAAGUUUUGGUUAUAACGCCAAAGCUAUAUCCAAAAGAACCUUUCCAUUAAAGCCAACGAGUUGGUAAAACCUAUUACGUUGUAGAAAAAAGCUCCAUGACUGGAUUCGCUUGUGCCAUAUUCAUUUCAAGUCAUUCUUCGGAAAGAAAUAAGACU